rnacentral:tRNA from 1 species
GCUUUCAUAGCUCAGUAGGUAGAGCGCAUCCUUGGUAAGGAUGAGGUCGCCGGUUCAAAUCCGGCUGAAAGCUCCA